AUUGAACGCUGGCGGAAUGCUUUACACAUGCAAGUCGAACGGGAGUAGCAAUACUCUAGUGGCGAACGGGUGAGUAACACAUCGGAACGUACGCUGACGUGGGGGAUAACACAUCGAAAGGUGUGCUAAUACCGCAUACGUCCUGAGGGAGAAAGCGGGGGAUCGUAAGACGUCGCGCGUUUGGAGCGGCCGAUGGCGGAUUAGCUAGUUGGUGGGGUAAAGGCCUGCCAAGGCGACGAUCCGUAGCUGGUCUGAGAGGACGACCAGCCACACUGGGACUGAGACACGGCCCAGACUCCUACGGGAGGCAGCAGUGGGGAAUUUUGGACAAUGGGCGAAAGCCUGAUCCAGCCAUUCCGCGUGAGUGAAGAAGGCCUUCGGGUUGUAAAGCUCUUUCGGCAGGAACGAAACGGCUCUUUCUAAUACAAGGAGUCAAUGACGGUACCUGAAGAAGAAGCACCGGCUAACUACGUGCCAGCCGCCGCAGUAA
rnacentral:rRNA from 1 species